AGGAAUUUAGGUUAAUCUAAACCAAGGACCUUCAAAGUCCCAAAAAAGAGUAUUAAUCUCUUAACUCCUG
rnacentral:tRNA from 1 species